AUUGAACGCUGGCGGCAUGCUUUACACAUGCAAGUCGAACGGUAACAGGCCUUCGGGUGCUGACGAGUGGCGAACGGGUGAGUAAUGCAUCGGAACGUGCCCAGAGGUGGGGGAUAACGCAGCGAAAGCUGUGCUAAUACCGCAUGUGAUCUGAGGAUGAAAGCGGGGGACCAAGCAGCAAUGUUUGGCCUCGCGCCUCUGGAGCGGCCGAUGUCAGAUUAGGUAGUUGGUGGGGUAAAGGCCCACCAAGCCGACGAUCUGUAGCUGGUCUGAGAGGACGACCAGCCACACUGGGACUGAGACACGGCCCAGACUCCUACGGGAGGCAGCAGUGGGGAAUUUUGGACAAUGGGCGCAAGCCUGAUCCAGCAAUGCCGCGUGCGGGAAGAAGGCCUUCGGGUUGUAAACCGCUUUUGUACGGAACGAAAAGGCUCUGGCUAAUACCUGGGGCUGAUGACGGUACCGUAAGAAUAAGCACCGGCUAACUACGUG
rnacentral:rRNA from 1 species